AGCAACUCCGAGUUAAUUAAUAGAGCGAGAAGGUCCGUUGUUCGUCACAUUGCUCAAGAGUAUCUGAUUUGAAUGGCUGAAGAGAACAGGAGUAACACAUGGCAACCUUUCGUUGCAAUGCUAGCAAUUGAGCUUGCCUUAGCCAUAGUAAAUGUACUAUUCAAGAAAGCGCUUGAUGAUGGAGCGAAUCCUUUGGUCCUCAUCACAUACCGCCAUUCAAUUUCGGCCCUUUUUUUGGCUCCAAUCAGCUACAUUUUGGAAAGGAAUAGCAGGCCGAAGCUCACGUUUAGAAUUUUGUGUUACCUCUUCUUCAGUGCGCUGCUGGGGGCGUCACUCAGUCAAUAUCUCUUCCUCUUCGGAGUUCAACGAACAUCUGCAACAUUUUCGUGUGCGUUCCUAAACAUGGCCCCCAUCAUGACGUUUGUUGUGGCCUUACCAUUCAGGAUGGAGGUCGUGGACAUAAGAAGCAACAGCGGAAUAACCAAAGUGCUGGGUUCAACAGUGUGCAUUGCUGGUGUCAUGACACUCAGUCUAUACAGAGGAAGCUCUUUGCUCAACCAUCCGCAGUUGAGUCCGCAUGCUUUUAGUACCGCUGCGAGGCUCGGGGUGAAGAGGAGCACGGGACAAUGGGUGAUUAGCUCAACGGCAUUGUUUUUAGGGACCUUAUUGUGGUCCUGUUGGUUCCUUGUUCAAUCCCAUAUUGGGAAAUUAUACCCUUGCAAGUACGCCAGCACAGCCUUCAUGUCCUUCUUCGGUGCACUCCAAUCUGCCAUGUUAGCUAGCUUGUCGUCAGGAAGGAACUCUCUAUGUGGGUUCUCAAGGACAAACUCGAGAUAUUCACCGUCGUCUUUGCCGGGACAGUGUGCUCAGGAUUGUGCUAUGUGGGAAUGUCGUGGUGCGUCAAGAAAAGGGGUCCCGUGUUCACGGCAGCAUUCAGCCCCCUCAUUCAGAUAUUCGCCGCCAUGAUCGGCAUCCCUGCCCUUCGAGAGCAGCUCUAUCUAGGAAGCCUGUUGGGAUCUGUCCUUGUGAUCGUGGGACUGUACGUUCUUCUGUGGGGCAAGAACAGAGAGAUGCACGAGAGUAUCAAGAAAAUGGCGCAGUCGGCCCGAGACAUUGAGGAUCAAGAAGCAAAAGUGGAAGUUGUCGCUGCCUAAUGUUUCUCUGCAUCCCCGAGAUGCCCAGAGAAAGUAGCAGAUGAAAGAAUGUCACUUGUUCUUCAUGAAACUUUUUCUUUUUAUUCUGAUUGAGUCAGAGUCUGACGACAGAAUGGUUUGUCGCGAUCUGAAAACGGGUUGCGACACCUGUUCGUGAAAUCGUUGCCAUUAGCAACGCCAUUAGUUUCGGCAAAUUUUAAGUGGUUGAGUUGAA